AACGAACGCUGGCGGCAGGCCUAAAACAUGCAAGUCGAACGCUCUAGCAAUAGAGAGUGGCGCACGGGUGCGUAACAUGUGGGAAUAUGCUUUUUGGUACGGAACAACUUUUGGAAACGAAAGCUAAUACCGUAUGGUCCCUUCGGGGUAAAGAUUUAUCGCCAAAAGAGUAGCCCGCACUGGAUUAGCUAGUUGGUGAGGUAAUGGCUCACCAAGGCGACGAUCCAUAGCUGGUCUGAGAGGACGAUCAGCCACACUGGGACUGAGACACGGCCCAGACUCCUACGGGAGGCAGCAGUUAGGAAUCUUGGACAAUGGGCGCAAGCCUGAUCCAGCCAUGCCGCGUGAGUGAUGAAGGCCUUCGGGUUGUAAAGCUCUUUAGUCCACGAAUAUAAUGACUGUAGUGGAAGAAUAAGCCCCGGCUAACUUCGUG
rnacentral:rRNA from 1 species